AUCACCCAUAGGUGGGGCGGGUUUAAUGGACAAAUGGAAGGGGCUGUAAUUGCCUAUAGCGAGUGUGUUCCAGACGGAUCUCUGUUUGCUUCGACUCUAACGGUAAUUUAUGUGAAUCAUAAUAUAAUGACUCUCCAGAAUAGCAGUAAAAAGGGUGCCUUUAAGUCGCGAAGCAACUAAUUCAACGAAGUGGCGCAGUGCUGUAGAUUUUAUUCUCCUGGUUUUCGCGCUGGCAUAGCCUAUUGAAUUCAAUAGGCUAUGCCAGCCUGACACAGUUGCCCAUCGUAUACACGUCUCAGGAAAUUGAUGUGUCUUAUCUAGCUAAACGGGCAAUGUUAAAAGGAAAUGCUUCAGCACAUUUUUUUUUAUUGAAGUGCAUUUGUUUUGAGAGUGGCAAAUAACAUAGAAUUCGAAGCGGCUUAAUACGCAUGAAAAACUGUUCCCUGCCAACGUGAAAAACCGGUUUUGGUGUAAGGCCUACGCGACUCAAAAGUUGUAGUCGACAGGGGAAAACCGCAUGCGCAUGUUCACAUAUCUGAAAAUUUCUGAAACUGAAGUGUUUAAUGCUUUAAAUUUUUUAAUGAUUUACAUUUUUCAUCUUAUGUCAUAAACUGAAUGAUAGUCAUGUUUUUGCUCCUGUGUGCUAUUUUUUCCAGGGUACAAUUUAUUCAAAAUAAAAUAGUGUUUUGGGUAAAUUCAACUUAAUCUGAAUAUUCCAUUGUUUGGAUGGCGCUAAAUUGCAAAUUAGCUAGCAUACCCUUUUGGGGUUUUCCCUCAAAACUGUGGGUGAAGAAGAAACUAUUACAUGUUGCUGCAUAUAGUUUAUUUUAUAUCCAUAUGUUAAAUGUUUGCAUUUGCACGGUUUUCCCUUAUUGUUCCAUUGAGGAUGACUUUUCUCUAUUCCUGUUGUAGAGAUACACAGUAUGUGGCAUGGCUACAUUAUGAUGAAUGCAAAAGAGCUUGUCAGGUUAUAAACCUAAAAAAGUUGCUCCUGCAUGUCUUAAAUCCUUUGAGGAGCUUUGUGCUUUUACGUUGCACCAGAGAGACUGGCGAACAAGACUUUUUGUUAUACUGGAAUGGUAUAAUGACAAUAAAUUGAAUUGUCUAAGGCCAGAUAUGUUAAAAGCAUCAUACCUUUUCAGACCCACACCCAUUGCUUAAGUAUCAACAUUAUUGCAUGCAUUAUCUAUCCAUCCAUCCAUUAUUUAUACUCACUUAUCCUGGGCAGGGUCGUAGGGGGUGCUGGAGCCUAUCCCAGCGUACAUUGAGUGAGAGGCAGGAAUACACCAUGGACAGACCACCAAUCUGUCACAGGGCACAUACACCAUUCACUCAUCAUUCACUGACGCACAUGCAUACCUAUGGGCAAUUUAGUGUCUCCAAUUAGCCUACCUGCCAUGUCUUUGGACUGUGGGAGAAAACCAAUUUAGCAGCCGGAGGAAACCCACAUGGACACGGGAAGAACAUGCAAACUCCACACAGAAAGGCCCAGAGGGGCGUGAGGCGACAGUACUACCCACUGCACCACUGUGCCGCCCCAAAUGCAAUAUCUUCAGCUGAAACAAUUCUUGAUCAUUUGGUUUCAGUUGCUGUUCUAUGAUUGAUUACUGUCCUAAUACUUAUCAGCUCCAUCAUCCUUGUUAUAGGUUGGGUGAGACUAUCAUGGUGACAGACGACUGAUUUUUCAAUGUUUGAGACUUGAGUGGAUCAGGUCAACUGCGGAUCUCACAGUAUAGUGCCCGUUCACAAGGAAACUAUGCCAUGGAGUGUAAGAAAAUCAUACUGACAUCCAGGGUAUUUGUGUGUGAUUGUGUUUCACCUUUCCCAUUGUGCAUUGUGGAGGUUUGGUAAUGUCUUGAGGCUCUUUGUCUUCAAUUCGUUUUUUUUAGUCGCUAUGUGUAUUUUCUGAAUUUUGUAUAUUUCAUUGUAUUACUUGUAAUAAGUAAGACUUUUUCAAAAUUUUUGUAGCAGCAUUUAAUGAUGUUUUUGUACUCAUUUAUAAAUGCGUUACAGCAUGUUUUCUCUUGAGCUGGUGUACAGAUGAAACCUGUGGGCUGGGUGGGGUCCGAGGGUGUUCGGUUACGCCCGUAGGCAAGGUGCUGACUACAGUAACUGGAGAGGUGAAUAUGGCUGUUGGCUGUUUGCUGUCAGUACCAUGUUUGUGUAGGCUUUAUGUACAUUCUUUUGACUUACUCAUGCUUACCAUGCUUGUCUGCUCAGGGUACGCAACAUUAUCAUAUAUUGCCUUCCAUCAGCAUGUGAUCAUAUUUUGAUGCUGUUGUCCUCACAUGACGUACUUGAAGGUGAAACAUCAUUGAUGGUGGGAGACAAUUCCAUUCCUUUUAGCUGACGUCAUGUUGCUUGGAGUCUUUCCAUCAACAAAAGGAGAUUCCAGAUACCGGAGAUUCCAGUACCUGGAAUUGCUCUCUAGGUGAUUUACGCCUCCAGACUGUCAACUCUUUUCAUUGUUGUAAAGUUGCUCUACCUGGAUGAACUGGUUUUCUUUUAUAGUGUUUAUCUCUCUACAAAAGGAUUGGAGUUUUCUCGUUAUAUCCGCAAUCUGAAUUCUGUUCUUUUGAAUCAUGCACUCCAGUUUGUCAGGCCUGGUGCUACUAAGUUGUGACAGUGUGGAGAAAAUGUCAUGGGGGGCCCAACCCAUUCUUACCUCUCUCUACUUAGAGGGGAUUUGCUUGGUGUAAUAAGCAGGGGAGGGAAGUCAUCCUCAUCCAUGAUGCUGAUCCAACAUCUUCUGUGUCACGUUCUGGCAGAAUAAUGGUAAAUAUACUAACUGUGCAGAUUAUUGUAAUAUUGCAGUGUGCGGAUUAUCGUAAUAUUACAGUAUACUGCUUUCUCCACAUCCAGCGAAGGGGCAAUGCUUAGGCAUUUUCAACUUAGCUUGCCUUACUCGCACAAACGUGACAAGAGCAUCAUUUACUUAUGCAGAAAGGAUUUCACUGGACUUAAGAUUUUUAUUAUGUGACUAAUACCCUGUUAACCUCAUCCACUGAAGACCUGGCAUUAACCAAGGGGAAAAGCAAGCCAAUUUCAGCACAGGCUUUUCUAUGUUUGUUUGUCUAUUUAUUUAUUUAUUUAUUUUCGCAAGAAUCAUUUAAAAACAUUUCUUGGCUGUUUGUGAAUGGAAAAAGUAUUGAAACAACACAUCAUCAAAGAAUUAACAGGUUUCAGUUUCCUGGACUUUAAAACUAAACAAAUCCCCUGGGGAGGGUGGAAUUAUAUAAUAAUUUUAUAAAGCAAUUGCUUUGCAAUUUGCUUUGCCUAAUUUAUAUUGCAGGUCUACAUUGAAAAGCAUAUCUAAUGGAUCUCUCCCUCCUACAUUUACUUAAGGUUAAGGUUUUAAGAAGGACCUAUUACUCAUAGAUAAUUAGCAUGCAAUCUGCCUGAUAAACAAUGAUUAUAAAAUAUUAGCAAUUGCAUUUGCAAAAUGCUUCAAUUUGGCAUUGAAUGCUGUUAUAGAUGAGUCUCAAUCUAGCUUCAUGAAAAACGGAUAUAUAUCAAAUAAUGUUAUCCGUCAAGGAUACCCGAUCUGCCCAUAUCUGUUCUUGCUCGUCACCCAACUGUUGUCUAAUCAGAACAAAAGCUCUUUAGAAGGCAUUACAAUAGCAGGGGAAAAAAUCAUCAUUUGCUAGCUUGCAGACCACACUAAUCUUUAAAAUAUUCAUCACAUGUCUUUAAUGCUCUUGAUAUCAUUAUCUCUUUCUCUAAGGCUUCAGGAUUACAUUUGAAUGUAAAUAAGUAUGAAUUUGUGGUAGUGAAAGUCUGCAUCAUUUAUG